AUACUUACCUGGCAGGGGAGAUACCAUGAUCAAGUAGGUGGUUUUCCCAGGGCGAGGCCCACCCAUUGCACUUAAUCUGGUUGCAAAGACAGUUUUGUUGUACUCAAGUUACACUUACUUAGUCUGUAACAUUUUCAGUUGAACAACAGCAACUGCCGUUUCUGACAAGAGAAAGCAUUUCUUUCUC
ensembl:snRNA U1 U1 spliceosomal RNA